ensembl:lncRNA
GUGCCUCAUUCCAGAGGAAUGCUGGGUAUUCUGUGUCAAAGGAAAAUCCAGCAUUUAUCUCGCCUAGCCAAGAGAGUGGCUUGUCUACUUUUGCCUGAGCUAAUAUUACUGCUUUCCCAGUUAUGUUGCUGCUGCUUCAGAAAAUGGCUGAAUGUUUUAUUUAAGAUGUUGUCUUUUGCUGGCAGGUUGAAGCGGACUCUGUUGCUGAUUUCCUUUCUGAAAGGGCUGAUCAGAGUGGCACCAGGAUCAGCUGAGCUUCAGAAGGUGCUUCUGGAGCUGCAAGCAGAAGGCACAGGGGUCACCUAAAUACAGGGACCAACAGCAACAUGGAUGAGCAUUCCCCUCACACCUUUGGGCUUUGUCAUUUUCAUGAAUUUAAGCCUACUGUUAAUAAUACGGUUCCCAGGGCCAAAAGGCCUUUAGAUUCCCCCGGGGAGGCUCAGGUCCUGCAGGCAGCUAAGAGAGCUUGUGCUUUGAGUCAUCACUGUAGCAUUUCAUGUCCAUCAGAGAAGCUGCUGCUCUGUUCCCCAGAUUCUGCCUGCUUUCAAGGAUCCCCUCAUUUUCUGGAUGAUACUGGCCAUGAUGAGCUUGUUGCCAGUUCUUCUGAGUCAAAGUACAAUGAUGUAGCCAUUUCUCUAGAUACAACCAGAUGUUUUGAUGAUAGUGAGCCAGACGACUCCUUGUUGGAACUGUCAGACAGUGAACAAGGGAAUUCUCCUUUCAAUUACACUGAGGAAGAGAUCCAGGAAAUCUUGGCAGAUGAUUGCUUGGGAUCUGAGCAGUAUACAACUAGAAAAAGCACUGUGAGCCAAAAUGUAAAUGGAGAGAGUGAAAAGGACGUGAGCAGCAGCUGCACUGGGGCAUCAGUCAUCAGUGAAGAUGUAAAGGUAGCAUCAAAGAUCACAGAGAAACCAAAUGUACCUCUGUCUAGGGUGUGUUCUUCAUUUGGUUCUGAAUAUUAUCCUGACCUUGCAAAUGAAACAAUUAAUUCAAAUGUGAACUGUCUACAGUCAGCCCAAGUAACUGACAUGUUGUUUGACCUUGAUAUUCAGGAGCUUCUAAAUCUUAGCCCACUUGAUGCUGACUAUGUAGAUCAGCCUCUGGAGGACAGUCAUUUGGAGGAAACCAAAAGAGAAACUUCACAAGCAAUGAUAAGUGAUUGCCUAGAAUAUGAUAAAAUCAAUGCUAAUAACUUGGUUCUCGGACAAUCUUUAGAAUGGUUGGUGUCUAAAGGGCAGCAUAGCCUGCACGUGGAUCACGUGGGAAAAGCUGUAUUUACAAGCAGAGAUAUGACUAACUUCCGUGGUGGUCCUGCAGAAACUUCCAUGCUCUCUUCUGACCUUGCCUGUGACCAGAGUAAAGCUGAUGAGAGUUCAGCACCUGUGCUGCUGAUAUGUCUCAAGCCAUCUCCUGGGUCCCGACACCAAGAUGUUUCCAAAGCAACAAGCAGCAAUUUUUCAGGGAAAUUUGACCCCUCAGAGGAUGAUGGGGGACAGGAAUCUUCAGAAGCUGAACAGCCAUCAAACAGUGUUAAAUUAAGUGAUACAGCUGUAGGCCAGAUUGGGCAGAAAGAGACAACGGGUGGGAAGAAGCUAGGCAAGGUUAUUCCUGUGCCACAGGUGGAGGAAAGACUAAAACAAGGGGCAAACGUUUCAGAAGCGGAGCUUGAGCGAAAGAAACAUUUGUAUCCAGUAUGUGCCUGCCCAUGUGAAGAAAUCUGUAGAUCCUACACCAGCACAGCCCGAAAAGGUGGAUUUUCAAGAAUGUUUCAGAAAUCCUCUCUAGAAGUGUCUUUUUGA